AGAGUUUGAUUCUGGCUCGGGAUGAACGCUGGCGGCGUGCUUAACACAUGCAAGUCGAACGGAGAUAGCGGAGAGCUUGCUCUCUUCUAUCUUAGGUGGCGGACGGGUGAGUAACGCGUGGGUAACCUACCCUGUACAGGGGGAUAGCAGUUGGAAACGACUGAUAAAACCGCAUAAAACGGCAGUACCGCAUGGUACAACCGCCAAAUAUUCAUAGGUACAGGAUGGGCCCGCGUCUGAUUAGCUAGUUGGUGGGGCAACGGCCUACCAAGGCGACGAUCAGUAGCCGGCCUGAGAGGGUGAACGGCCACAUUGGGACUGAGACACGGCCCAAACUCCUACGGGAGGCAGCAGUGGGGAAUAUUGGACAAUGGGGGAAACCCUGAUCCAGCCGACGCCGCGUGAGUGAAGAAGUAUUUCGGUAUGUAAAGCUCUAUCAGCAGGGAAGAUGAUGACGGUACCUGACUAAGAAGCACCGGCUAAAUACGUGCCAGCCGCGGC
rnacentral:rRNA from 1 species